rnacentral:rRNA from 1 species
AUUGAACGCUGGCGCCAUGCUUUACACAUUCAAGUCGAACGGUAACAGGGAGCUUGCUCCGCUGACGAGUGGCGAACGGGUGAGUAAUAUAUCGGAACGUGCCCAAGAGUGGGGGAUAACGUAGCGAAAGUUACGCUAAUACCGCAUACGAUCCACGGAUGAAAGCAGGGGACCUUCGGGCCUUGUGCUCCUGGAGCGGCCGAUAUCUGAUUAGCUAGUUGGUGAGGUAAAGGCUCACCAAGGCGACGAUCAGUAGCUGGUCUGAGAGGACGACCAGCCACACUGGAACUGAGACACGGUCCAGACUCCUACGGGAGGCAGCAGUGAGGAAUUUUGGACAAUGGGGGCAACCCUAAUCCAGCAAUGCGGCGUGAGUGAAGAAGGCCUUCGGGUUGUAAAGCUCUUUUGUCAGGGAAGAAAAGGGUACGGCUAAUAUCCGUGCCUCAUGACGGUACCUGAAGAAUAAGCACCGGCUAACUACGUGCCAGCCGCCGCCGUAA